rnacentral:rRNA from 1 species
GAUGAACGCUGGCGGCGUGCUUAACACAUGCAAGUCGAACGGAAAGGCUCCUGCUUGCAGGGGUACUCGAUUGGCGAACGGGUGAGUAACACGUGGGUGAUCUGCCCUGCACUUCGGGAUAAGCCUGGGAAACUGGGUCUCAUACCGGAUAGGACCACAUUUUGGGUGGUGUGGUGGAAAGUUUUUCGGUGUGGGUUGGGCUCGCGGCCUAUCAGCUUGUUGGUGGGGUAAUGGCCUACCAAGGCGUCGACGGGUAGCCGGCCUGAGAGGGUGUACGGCCACAUUGGGACUGAGAGAGGGCCCAGACGCCUACGGGAGGCAGCAGUGGGGAAUAUUGCACAAUGGGCGCAAGCCUGAUGCAGCGACGCCGGGUGGGGGAUGACGGCCUUCGGGUUGUAAACACCUUUCGCUAGGGACGAAGCGCAAGUGACGGUACCUGGAGAAGAAGCACCGGCUAACUACGUG